AAAUUGUGUACAAGACAGACUUCAGUGAAACGUGGGUGUGGGCCUGCUUUCACCGAGCAGUAUUUACAGCACAUGGCAAGAGGCAGGGAAGUCUUCUAACGCCCGGUCCUCAGGAAGGAUACGGAAAAUCACAACACGUGUGUCAGCUGCCUUUAUGCUUUUUUUUCCACCUUCUUUUACUGCAGUCCCCUUCACACCUUUCCUAGUCUGCAUUUCACCACGCAACUGCAAAACGCGUUCUGCCUUUGUCACUUCGAGAAGCCUCGUUCGACAAGGACCCGGUCAGGUCAUGAGUCAUGCCCACUAACCCGAUGUUUAAGCUAGUGUUCAAGAGAAAAAUGUCAGCCUUUGGGGGGCCCCAGAGACAGACUGGGGUGCUGCCUGAGCUAGUCAGUGCCUCAACCUACUCCGGUAACCAUCAAGAUACUCACUGCGAUAACCGCAAUUAAGGCGGGGGAGGGGGUGCUCUUUAGAAAAGUGCAGUAAAUUCAGUUAGAACAAAAGUUAUGACAUUACAUUUUAUUUUCCCCUUUUGCCUGAAAUCCUAAUGCCAAUAUUAAGUUAGCGGCAUUUGAUCAUGAUUUGCUUUUCAUAUCCCAGGCAUUUGUUCCCUUAGAAACUAAACAGAGGGAAAAAACUGACUCUAUAUAGAAAUACACAGUUAACUAACUCUCCAUCCCCAAGAUAAACAAACUACUCUUGGCCUUAUUUAUGCACCACUCAAAAACAAAAACCUAAAACUACAAUAAAAACAACAACACACCAUGUGUGUGCAAAACUGUAGGCAAAGCUAGUUAAGCCACAGAGUUUGUGAUGUUUUAUACAGCAGGCUCACAAACUGAAAACAAAUUUUUGAUUGCUUAUAUAUUCUGAAGUGUUUCCUGCCUACAUAUCCUCAGAAAUCCCAGGAGCUUUCCUGGACACAUGGAAAAUUUCAAGUUGAGCCAUUUUUAAGUUAUCCAUGAGUGAAAGGGGGAAAAAAAGGAGGAAAAAAAAAAAAAAACCCAGCACAUGGAGUGGGAGUUUGAAUUUGUCAUAAAAAAGAAGAAAAAAGUUAUUUUGUUCUUUGCCUGUCUUUGAGUUACUUGACAAUGGCUGAACAUACUUUACCCAAGUUUUUUUUUUUUCAUUUUUUUCAGAAAGAGGAGAAUCACCUUUGUGCCGCAGCCAAGUAUGAACAUAUUCAGCAUGUUCUUUCUAUACAAGUGUGCACCAGGGAAUUCUUAAGGCAGAUCUACGUGUAACCGUAAAACUAGCACUACCAGGCACAAAUCGGAUCGCACGUCAUAAUGACAAAUAACUACCAGAAUAGGAAAGCAAGCGUGCACUUGGCAUCCAGCAUCCAAAAUAAGAAUUCGACUUUUAAAGUUACUGUACAGCAUUUAACAUGGAAAUAAUCACCUCCGCGGUGGAGAUCGCGGACGGAGACGCGAACCCCGCAAAAACCCUGGCGACCGGGCGUAGACCGGCUUUUGCGCCUUCCCGCCGCGCCUCGGAGAAACACCGCCCCCAGAUUCAAGGUUUCCGAGAUGCUCUGCGCACGGCAUCCACGUGGUAGAUGGCAGAGCCUAACGGUGGCUCGGGUGCCCGGGACAGGCGGGGCAGGGAGGCGCGGAGAUUCUGGAACGUUUAAAGUAAAAGACUUGAACAAGUUAAGUAGAGGGCAGAGGCCAAGGCUGUUUUUGCAGGGAAACACCCCACUCAGAAAUUCAGUUCCUGGCUUCAUUUCCCAAAUCUCACAUAAAUAUCUGAGGACAUUGCCGGCUUCCUAGAGCCAAGAGGGAAAACAUGCAUUGAAAAGAACGAGCAAGAGGAGCCAGAACGCGGGAUGAUCGUUUCGCUGGACGCCCUCCCCUUCAGACACCGUUGGCUGGGGCUCCCGAUGAAAUCUAUUGAGGCAAGGAUGAAGUGCGAGCCAAGAUGGGCAGAGAGGGUUCUCAAUUCUUCCAUCAGUGGACACGGUUACAGUUUUUAUUCUGGAUUUACAUAAUAUGUUCUGCCUUUGAAAUACUUCCCCAUUGGUGCUGGUUGCUAGAUUUCAAACAGGUGCUACCAGUGAGGCACCCAAGGUAAAAGGACAUGUCCCUGUCCCCUUGCCCAGUGUGCAUUAUGUAUACUCAAAGUGUCCCUGAGACCCCUGACCACUAGAACAUGAAACAAAGACUUCCACAAUGUAGGUCUUCUUUUAUUCAUUCAUUAAAUAAACGUUCAUUGGUACCUAC